UCAUACCUAUUCGAAGGGAUAGGGUCGGUUCGGCCGGGUUUCACACAGGUGUUGCAUGGCUGUCGUCAGCUCGUGUCGUGAGAUGUUGGGUUAAGUCCCGCAACGAGCGCAACCCUCAUCCUUAGUUACCAUCAGGUAAUGCUGGGGACUUUAAGGAAACUGCCAGUGAUAAACUGGAGGAAGGUGGGGAUGAUGUCAAGUCAUCAUGGCCCUUAUGGAGUGGGCUACACACGUGCUACAAUGGUGGCUACAAUGGGCUGCAAAGUCGCGAGGCUAAGCUAAUCCCUUAAAAGCCAUCUCAGUUCGGAUUGUACUCUGCAACUCGAGUGCAUGAAGUUGGAAUCGCUAGUAAUCGCGG
rnacentral:rRNA from 1 species